rnacentral:snRNA from 1 species
AGAGAAUCACUUGAACCCAAGGCAGAGGUUGCAGUGAGCUGAGAUCACACUAUUGCACUCCAGCCUGGGGAAUAAGA